rnacentral:pre_miRNA from 1 species
CUCUGUUUAGGGUACGUUCUGUAUGUGUGUAUGUACACACACACACACACACACACAGAACGUACCCUAAACAGAG